rnacentral:rRNA from 1 species
AUUGAACGCUGGCGGCAUGCUUUACACAUGCAAGUCGAACGGUAACAGGCCUUCGGGUGCUGACGAGUGGCGAACGGGUGAGUAAUGCAUCGGAACGUACCCAGAGGUGGGGGAUAACGCAGCGAAAGCUGUGCUAAUACCGCAUGUGAUCUGAGGAUGAAAGCGGGGGACCGAGCAGCAAUGUUUGGCCUCGCGCCUUUGGAGCGGCCGAUGUCGGAUUAGCUAGUUGGUGGGGUAAAGGCCUACCAAGGCGACGAUCCGUAGCUGGUCUGAGAGGACGACCAGCCACACUGGGACUGAGACACGGCCCAGACUCCUACGGGAGGUAGCAGUGGGGAAUUUUGGACAAUGGGCGCAAGCCUGAUCCAGCAAUGCCGCGUGCGGGAAGAAGGCCUUCGGGUUGUAAACCGCUUUUGGCAGGAGCGAAACGGUGUCCGCUAAUACCGGGCGCUAAUGACGGUACCUGCAGAAUAAGCACCGGCUAACUACGUG